GGAGGGAUCAUUACCGGCGAUAUGCAUAAAGAGAGACUGCGUUCGCGUAGUCUCCAACCUGGAGGCCAAACCGACAGGUUGCAUGCCCAACCCGUGUUUAUACGUACCAUUUUGUUGCCUCGGCGGCUUCGGCCGUCGUAGGACCCCUUCUCAAACGCUUUUUGUAGUCAAUGUUGCAGUCUGAGCGAAACACGCAAUUGAAUUAAAACUUUCAACAACGGAUCUCUUGGUUCUGGCAUCGAUGAAGAACGCAGCGAAAUGCGAUAAGUAGUGUGAAUUGCAGAAUUCAGUGAAUCAUCGAAUCUUUGAACGCACAUUGCGCCCUUUGGCAUUCCGAAGGGCAUGCCUGUUCGAGCGUCAUUUCAACCGUCCAGCCUAGCUGGGUGUUGGGCGUUUUGUCCCGCCACGUGCGCGGACUCGCCUUAAAACAAUCGGCGUCUGUAUGUGGGCCUGAUGCGUAGCACAACUCGCACAGUCAGGCAGGCAUGCGGGCGGCCGGCAAAGCACUUUUUUUUGGUUGACCUCGGAUCAGGUAGGGAUACCCGCUGAACUUAAGCAUAUCAAUAAGCGGAGGAAAAGAAACCAACAGGGAUUGCCUCAGUAACGGCGAGUGAAGCGGCAACAGCUCAAAUUUGAAAUCUGGCCCCCUGCGGGGUCCGAGUUGUAAUUUGUAGAGGGUGUUUCGGCGUGGAGCGCGGUCUAAGUUUCUUGGAACAGGACGUCAUAGAGGGUGAGAACCCCGUAUGCGGCCGGCGCGCCUCGCCAUGUGAAACCCCUUCGACGAGUCGAGUUGUUUGGGAAUGCAGCUCUAAAUGGGAGGUAUAUUUCUUCUAAAGCUAAAUAUUGGCCAGAGACCGAUAGCGCACAAGUAGAGUGAUCGAAAGAUGAAAAGCACUUUGGAAAGAGAGUCAAACAGCACGUGAAAUUGUUGAAAGGGAAGCGCUUGCCACCAGACUUGCCCGCCGCCGCUCAUCCUGGGGUUUCCCCAGGUGCACUCGGCGGUAGGCAGGCCAGCAUCAGUGGGGGCGGUCGGACAAAGGCGCGGGGAAUGUAGCUCUCUUCGGGGAGUGUUAUAGCCCCGCGUGUCCCACGGCCUGCCCCGACUGAGGUCCGCGCUUCGGCUAGGAUGCUGGCGUAAUGGUUGCAAGCGGCCCGUCUUGAAACACGGACCAAGGAGUCUAACAUCUAUGCGAGUGUUUGGGUGACAAGCCCGGGCGCGGAAUGAAAGUGAACGGAGGUGGGAACCCCUUGCGGGGUGCACCAUCGACCGAUCCUGAUGUCUUCGGAUGGAUUUGAGUAAGAGCAUAGCUGUUGGGACCCGAAAGAUGGUGAACUAUGCCUGAAUAGGGUGAAGCCAGAGGAAACUCUGGUGGAGGCUCGCAGCGGUUCUGACGUGCAAAUCGAUCGUCAAAUUUGGGCAUAGGGGCGAAAGACUAAUCGAACUAUCUAGUAGCUGGUUCCUGC
rnacentral:misc_RNA from 1 species